AUUCUCUCCCCUGAGCCAUCUGACUCCCUCUUCUUCUACCUGCCCAGAAGUUCUGGCCGGUCUGCUUCCAGGCACGGUAGCCACGCCUUUUUCCAAGCUCACAAGACCCAUCCCAGCAGCAGAUGUGUCCUCUCUUUGCUAUGCAUUCAUUGUCUCUGCCAGUGGACCAUCAUGGUGUGUGGUUCGAGGCAAGAUCAAUGGGACCCCAUUUUUAAAAUAUACGAGUAGAAAUCUGAAGGCCAAACCCAUCGGUCCCCUGGGGAUGAGGUUGAGUGCCACACAGGCCUGGAAUCAACAGGGUGAACAUUGGAAGGACCUGGUGGAAGAGCUCCGCAAGGCACUGCUGGACAAUAAAGAAAAUAUUUAUGAAGACUUUAAUUCUCUCUCCCUGCAGGGCAGCAUGACGUGUCAGCAGAAAUUCAGUGGACGCUCCAGGGCAUUCUGGGAGUUUGGGGUCAACGGACAGAGAUGCCUCCAAUUUGACUCAAAGAGCAGAAGCUGGACAGAGUUGCAUCCUGGGUGUAGAUUGUUAAAGGAGACACUGGACAGUGACAGAGAUGUGACCAAUCUCCUUGUUGCUAUCUCACGUGGAGAUUGUGCGAAGUUGCUUCAUCAGAGCACAGUUCUGGACACAAAAGCUGCACCAACCACGGCUACAGCUACAGCCCCAGUCCCAGCCCCGUCCAAGGCCAUGACCAUCACGCACAGCACGUGGUGUGGAUCCUCACUCCAAUUUUUAUCUUAAUCCCACUUGGCAUCCUAGGCUGGGUCCUUACAGUAACAGAAGACGCUGCUCAGGAGCUCCUUUGAGUGUGGUCUAGUUCCGCACGUUUCCCUCCUCGUCGGCUGCCUUUCCAUCAUCCCCGGGUGCUCAACGGAAGGCCUCCAGGAGCUGUGAUCCUUAGAGGCAUCAGAAGAUGGUGAUGGUACAGCGGAUGCAACAGUCACAUCCUCUGCUCCAUGGAAGUGACAUGAAUUAAUUUGCUUAUUAACAUGUUAUCAUGCCAUAUGGUGUCUGGGAUAAUAGAAUGGAUAAAGUGUGGUAUGUUUACAAAUGGAACACUAUAUAAAAAUAAAUAAGUAAUAAACUGCUAGACAAAACCCGUAUGAC